rnacentral:rRNA from 1 species
AUGAAGUUUCUUCGGAAAUGGAUUAGCGGCGAACGGGUGAGGAACACGUGAAGAAUCUGCCCUCCACUUUGGGAUAACACAGGGAAACCUGUGCUAAUACCGAAUAUUGAAACAUAAGUGGCAUCACUGAGUUUUGAAAGAAUUUCGGUGGAGGAUGACUUCGCGGCCUAUCAGCUAGUUGGUGAGGUAAUGGCUCACCAAGGCAACGACGGGUAGCCGGCCUGAGAGGGCGACCGGCCACACUGGGACUGAGACACGGCCCAGACUCCUACGGGAGGCAGCAGUGGGGAAUAUUGGGCAAUGGAGGAAACUCUGACCCAGCGACGCCGCGUGCGGGAUGAAGGCCUUCGGGUUGUAAACCGCUUUCAGUAGGGAAGAAGCGAAAGUGACGGUACCUACAAAAGAAGCACCGGCUAACUAUGUGCCAGCAGCCGCGGUAAUACAUAGGGUGCAAGCGUUGUCCGGAAUUAUUGGGCGUAAAGAGCUCGUAGGUCGUUUGUUACGUCGGAUGUGAAAACCUGAGGCUCAACCUCAGGCCUGCAUUCGAUACGGGCAAACUAGAGUUUGGUAGGGGAGACUGGAAUUCCUGGUGUAGCGGUGGAAUGCGCAGAUAUCAGGAGGAACACCAAUGGCGAAGGCAGGUCUCUGGGCCAAUACUGACACUGAGGAGCGAAGUCUGGGGAGCGAACAGAUUAGAUACCCUGGUA